UCAAAAGGGCUGGGUAAGAGUUUUUAGUUUGUCAAUUAACAGAAAGCUAGAGCCUGUCCCUUAGUAAAGCCCCGCCUCCACCCCAGCUUUCUAUUCUGGUUAAUCACGUGACUGACAAGUAACAGGAAUGAAACUGCUUGGCUCUGAGGAAUCAGAACAUGAAGUGCCUACACUUUGGUUUAAUGAUUAUCUGGCUUUUAAAUAGUCGUUUCUCCACUACGUACAUGUGGCUUUAUUGUUUGUGGGUGAGCACAUUGCAAGACUAUAUACUUUUAACAGGAUAACCAAAGAAGAAGGCUGCUGGAGACACGAGCGAGGAAAGAAAAAUGGAAAGUGUCCCAGAACAGCUAUCUCCAUCAUCAAGCCUGUGCUCCUGUCUAAUGGGUCUUCUGUUAGAGCGAGUCAUGAGGUGUGGUGAAUGGACUCCCGUGAUGAGGUGUGCGGUUGAUGGGCUUUAAGCUCACUCCCAAAUGAGAAUGUUCUUAAAACCCUCUGCCCAUUGUGCUAUUCAUGGAGUGGAAAUUACUUCCUUCCUUGAAACUAGCUGUGUUCCAAAGGAGCUGAGACUUAGAGAACUCAGGGAAUGGAGGUGAGACUCAGCAAUUGAGUGCUUACUGCUUCUGCAGAUGAUCCAAGUUCGGUUCCUAUCACCCAUGUCAGAUGGUGCAGAACUAACUGUAACUCCAGGUAAUACAAUUGAAUCACACGUAUAUCAUCUUGGUGAAAAAGAUCAAUUUAGAAGCAACAUUUAAAGUACUCAAUUUCCCAAUAUCAUGAAGUAGAAAACAUAGAAAGUACUGAGUGAGGCAAAACAGUUUUCCAAGGUACUAGUCUACUUCACUGUAUGGAGCAGGGAUAUUAAAGAAGACUUUCAACAAUGUCUUCUGUGUUUUGAACACUAGGGAACGGUUUUGUUUGCCACAUAAGACUUCAGUCUGGCUAAAAAGCAGGACUGGGUCUGAAAAAGCAUUGGAUAAAACCGGACUCGCUGAACAUAGCGGACAAUGAGGACUGCUGAGAAGUCAAGAACAAUGGCACUAGUUUUUGAUUCUACUGCACGUACUGGCUUUGUGGGAGCCUAGGCUGUUUGGAUGCUCACUUACUAAACCUGGAAGGAGCCCGGCGAUGGUGGCGCACACCUUUAAUCCCAGCACUCGGGAGGCAGAGGCAGGCGGAUCUCUGUGAGUUCGAGACCAGCCUGGUCUACAGAGCUAGUUCCAGGACAGGCUCCAAAGCCACAGAGAAACCCUGUCUCGAAAUCAAUCAAUCAAUCAAUCAAUCAAUAAAUAAAUAAAAAACCUGGAAGGAGGUGGGACGUCCUUGGACUCCCCACAGGGAAGGGGACCCUGACUGCUCUUUGGGCUGAUGCUUGGGGGAGGAGGAAGGAAAUGGGAGGCGGUGGCAGGGACGAGGCAGAAAUCUUUAAUAAAUAAAUAAAAAAAAGAUAUGAUCAGGUGGGCUUAGGGAUCUAAAUUUUUUUACAUUGUUUUGGUUAUGUUUUGCUUUUGACUUAACACUGACUUAAUCAAAUACGUGCUCCUGGCCUCCAUGCUUAAUGAGACAAUUUGAAGUCUGAAAGAAUUCUCCUCUAACAGCAUUGCUAAAUAGCAGCUUUGUCCAUAGUUUCCUUUAUUGUUGAUUUGUUUGGUGACAAUUUGAAACAUAUUAAUUAGAUUUUCAAACAUAUAAGCAUGAAAAGGGAAAAUGCCUUAUAUGAAGAAAAUAACCUUACUGGGAAUUGAAGAUGAGUGGAAUUCCCUGUAAGUAAUAAUUUAUAGCUUGUAUUUAUACUUCUCUUAGCACUAUGGUUUUUCUUUAAAAUUUUCUUCCUUUCCCUACAGAUUUUUUUUCAUAAAAUAUGUUAAAUAUGUUUUGUACAUUGUGGUUUCUGACAUGAAAAGUUUUUAAAUGAACUUUUAAAUGAAUAAAGACUGUGGAAUAGUACAUUUUAUUCCCCUAGUAGCAUAAAUAGGUUGUUUAUGGGUCUCUAUUUGGUUUUCCUCGUCUAUCUUUUAAAUGAAUUCCUCAAAAAUAAAUAUAAAUUCAAUUAUGGUGUACCUGAGGAAAGUAGGGGAGGAGCUGCAGCCAUGACAAGCUUUUCUGCUCCUGUAUGUGUAUGUGAGAAAGAAAACGCAGCAUUUGUCAGUUCUAAUGUGUUGUGUGAGUUCUAAGAUGAGUAAGUUGGCAGGGUGUGAGAAGAUUGUUUGUCCUGGAUUGAUCCUGGAUUAUUCACCUACAACAGCUGAAGAGCUGAAAAUCCGUGCUGAACUAAUGCCCAGGGACUAGGUCUCUUGGUCUGGUGACCAGGGUUCUCUCCUCCUGGAACUUGUGCAUCGAAGGUGUGUGCAUUUGUGAGAUUUCCUCAGCCUAGACUAUGACAAUACCUUUGCCUCUGUCAUGUGAGAGAAAAUCUGUAGCUUUAAAUAAAUAUGGAUCUAUGUGUGUUGAUACAGACUAGUCAUCCUAGCACGGAGGCAGGAGGAUCCACAGUUCUAGGCCAAAUUGGGUUAUAUAUAUAUUGUCCCCGUUUUAUCAACAAAAUGACACCUGUCUCAGAAAAGACAGAGAUGGAGGGGAAAGAAGAGAGAGGCAGAGAGACAGAAACAGGGAGGCAGAGUCAUAGACAGAGAGAGAAGAAAGGGUGAGGGGCAAAAGAGAAAAGAAGGGACAAGCUCUGUAGUGAAAUAUAUCAGUUUGAUAUAUAAAAUUAAUGUGCAUUAAUAAUUAUAUUUAAAAAGAAGAUCUAUUGAAUGAACACUGACAACAGACUAAGGAGUUCCAAGGAAAGUCUUUCCACAUUUUUAUGUUUACUUUCCCUGGGGCAGAGACAGUCCAUGGCAGAGUUCCAUUUUUCUCAAGGCUGCCUUUCUACUCUGUUCCCCAGUGACCCACCUGUUUUGAGAACUGGAAGACCUUAUUUCAAUUCCUUGGUAACUGAGUAUUUUUAGGAAAGGAAGUUAUACAUCUUUUAAAAAAUAUUUCACAAUUAUCUCUAUUUAUUAUAUUUGAUAAUAACUCACACCAAAAUUUGCAAUAUAUUGUUAGCAGUGUUUAUUAGCUUCAGAACUGACAAACAUUUUUUUUUCUCAAUUGCAUUUCUUGUGGGUUUUAUCUAUGACCCUUGUCUCAGUUUCUGAGAAGACAUGAUAGGUGGUUUUCAUGAGAAGUCACUGCUUUUUUCUUUCAUAUGAACCCCAAUGAUUGAAACAUCUGUGAACACUUGUUGUCUGAAUGACAAGUUGACCUCUCUCUCAUGAUGAAUUUCUCAAAGUGUCAACCAGAGCAGAUUUACAUCAGGAUUAUUUACUGGAUGACUUUCAACAUCACUAACGUACAAAAAAAACCAUUGCAUUUUAAAAAGACAGUCAUAAUGUGUAAUAUCUCAUGGGUCAUUUUGAAUCCAAUAACUUUAGUACUUUCUAUGAAGCACUAAAGCUGGUGAAAAACAAGUUAUCAGAAUAGACUAUGACAAAUAUUUUUUUGGCAGCAUCCUUUUGCCUAACUAUAGGUAAGGCAGUUAGAAGGAAUGAAUAGGUCUUUUGCACAUUAAUUAGCCUUGCAGAAGUAAUCAUGAAAGAAAUCCCCCCCUUUUCCUUCUCCUUUUUUCUUUGUUUCCUAGCAAACACUUAUGCCUUGCAUGGUGUAUGGAAGGAUUUGUUUGAUUCAUCAUCCUCCCUCUGUACAGAAGGAACACUGAGGGGAAGAAAUACAUUUACCUGUAUUUUACAAAAACCAUGAGAUAACUGCAUGAAUGCAUUAAGGGAUUGGGAGUGCAGACAUGAGCCUUUCUUUAAUCCCAGUAAUUGGGAAGCAGAAGCAGAGAGAUCUCUCUGAGUUUGAGUCCAGCCUGGUAUACAUAGUGAGUUCCAGGUCAGCCAGGGCUACAUAGUGAGACCCUGUUUCAAAACAAAGCACAAUAAAACAAAACAAACUACAAAACAAAACCAAAAAGAAUGAAUUAAAAGCACUGCUAAAAAAAAUCUCAUUGUCCUACAAGCAAACUCUUAGCAGCUUUAAAGAAUGCUCUUGUAACAUAAAGAUCCAUUGAGAAUCAUGGUAUGAUGCUGUAAUUUCCUAAGAUUGCCAAGUUUACAGUCAAUUGCUUAUUUAUUUAGAUAUUAAAGACUUAUUUUAUUUUUACAUCCCAGCUGCAGUUUCCCCUCCCUUCUCUCCUUCCAGUCCCCCCACACUCACCCCUCCUCUGUUCACACCCCCAAUCAACUCCUCCUCAGUCUCUGUUUAGAAAAGGACAUGUCUCCAAUGAGUCUCAACAAAACAUGGGAUGCUAAGUCGCAGUAAGACUAAGCACCUCACCAUAUAUUAAGGCUUGGCAAGGCUAUCCGGUAUGUGUAGUAGAAUCUCAAAAGCCAGUAAAAGAAUGAGAAACAGCCUCUGCUUCCAAGGAUAGGUAUCCCAGAAGAGGACCAAGCAUCAUAACUAUAACAUACAUGCAGAGAGCCUAGGUCAGUCUCAUGCAGGCUUCCUGGUUGACAGAUUAGUCUCUGUGAGCCAACUAAGAGCACAGGUUAGUUAAUUCUGUGAGUUUUCUUGUGGUGUCCUUGACCCAUCUGGCUCCUACAGUUUUUUCUUCCCCUCUUCUUCAUGAUUACCUGAGCUCUGACUAAUGUUUGGCUGUGGAUCUGCAUGUGUUUCUCUUUCCAUCGGUUGCCGGAUGAAGCCUCUCUGAUGACAAUUGAGCUAAGUACCCAUUUGGUCACAGAAGAUGGUCAAUUGAGGCUACGCAUCUGCUUUUGCUAGGAGUCUUAGCUAGGGUCAUUCUUGGUGCCUGUGAGAUUCCCUUGUAUUGGUUUUUACCUGGCUCUAAAUUGCGCCCCCCCCCCAUUUCUAGUAGUCUCUUCCAUCACUUUUCUUUAACUGCCCCCAACCUGAAUGCUUAUUGUCCCAUCCUCAUGUACCUUCAGUUCAUUCACAAAAUCUCUUCUCCUUCCCCUUCCCAGGGAGAUCCAGGCAUUCCCUCCUGAACCUUCCUUGUCAGCUAGUCUCUCUGGGUCUGUGGAUUGUUACAUAAUUAUCCUUUACUUUACAGCUAAUAACCACUUAUGAGACUUAUUUUGCGUGUGUGCAAGUUGGUGAGUUUAUAUGAACCACAAGCAUGCAUAUGCCUGCAGAAGCCAGAGGAAGAUGCCACAUUCCAUGGAGGUGGUGUUAAAAAUAUCCUGGAAGAGGGGACAGAAUAAUUGAAAAGCCAGAUGACCAGGAUGUCUGCUGCUAGAUAGUGUCAUAUAGACAGGACAGGGAAGCUGCACCCACAAAAUCUCAACAUCAUGGCCGACCGAAGAAGACUUGCAUAAUGGUAGUAUCAUUCCACAAAGCCAUCGAGGUUAUGGGGAAUUUCACAAGGCUUUGCACCCUGAUGAGUAUAUAAAAGCAAUCAAUGACUGCUUAAAGAGGAAGAAUUGGUUUUUCCUAUGGAUGAACUUCCUGGUUACAGUCUACCAUUGGGGGAAUCCAGACAUGAACUCAAAGGAGGAGCCUGAAGCAGGAACUGAGUAAGAGAUUGUGGAGGAAUGCUGCUUACUGAAUGACUUGCUACUGUGAAUUGCUCAGCUAUGCUUCUUAUACAGCCAGUAUCCCCUGGCUGUUUACAGCUGGCUUGGCUAUUCUACAUCAUUAGCAACAUAUCCACAGACUCAUCUGAUGGAUGGGGUAGUCCUUAAACUGAUAUUCCUUCUUCCCAGCUAUGUCUAGUUUUCUGUCAAGGGGAUAAAAACCAGACAAAAUAUUGUCUACACUACAUUUAAUACUGCUUAAUACAUUUAAAUACCAAUAGAGAAAACAGACUUGAAAAAGGGCCCUGGAAGUGUUAGGAAUUUCUGAUGUUCCUUCAUUUUAUUGUUUGCAAACCAUUCGGAGCCUCUCAAUGUUUUGGAGCAAAGGACUCUGGCCUCACUUGUCUAACAAAUCUGAACAUAUAAUAGUCCAUCACCAUUCAGUAGGAAUGAGGCAAAGCAGACAAAUAAAUUCUGUCUUUUCUCUGUGGUAACAUAAAGAGGUGAUCUAAGUAAUAAACACACAGAUACAACAAAUUGAAGACAGUAAUAAGAAUCUCACUGCCUUUUUAUUAAUGUUGAUGCCACGGCUUUCAUCUUCUAUGUGAGCCUCAGAAAGUUAUUUAACUUAAUUUUCUAGAAUUUUGUUCACUUAAAAAUAUUUAUUUUAACUAAUUAUAUUCUUUGUUUAUUUUGCCAGGUUGUUUUCAGUUAGCAAAUCAGUCUGAGGCAGAGUUGAAUAUGCUCCCACAUGCCGGUGUCACCACCAUGGCCAUCCUCAUGUCAUAGUGGACAUCACUUCCUGAGAAAGAAAAGGCCAUACCAGGGGAAUUUAUUUCAAUAGCUUUUUAUUUUACUUAAAACUGUAUAUGUCUAACAUAAAAUUGUAUUUUAUUCAACCACCAGAGGGAGCCUUCAAAUCUACGGUUUCUGAAAAGGAAAUACGAUUGAAGUGUCAACUUUGUAAAUUUUAUGCUUGACAAUUAAAAACCCAACACAUUCCAUUUCAUGCCAUUGCCUUCCAUGAGGGUUUUCAUACAGAAGAUGGCAGGCUCUUCUCAUGCUCCAUAUGCCGUAUCAUUUUGGUUAACAGUUUUUAUAUAAUACUCUAUUUUUGCGUGAUUUUGAUUCUUUCAGUAGUUUGAGUAAUUCUGAUAUUUUAAUUAUACAGUUGAUUGAGACUCACCAAUAUCUUGCUUCAAAAUGAUUUUCCUUCCAUACUUUAAGUCCUAGCUUAUUUCAGGUGUAUUUUUGUCUUCAAAUUGAUGAUCUUUAUCCAUAUAUGUUUUUUUCAGUAACCCCAAACCAAAGGUUUGCCACAUCUAUUCCUUUCCAUAUUUAUUAAUUUGGAUACAUUGCUUGUCUAACCAGGAUUUAUUAUUAAAUAUUUAAGAAGUGUCUUGGGAUUUUAGAAUGAUGAGUCUUUUUCAUAUUUGGGAAUGUUAACCUAAUGCAUGUUUGACAAAUAGAGUGACCGUGAUAUUCUCAGGCGUUUCCUUCCAUCAUCUGCAAGCUCAUUUUCUCCCAUGGAGAAUCAAGUGAUUCAAAUGUUUCCAGCGAUAUUAUUUACACAUGGGAUGAGGAAGGAUGUUAUCUAACUUUUUCCUCUAGGCAGAGCUGGCUAGUUCCCAUAAGGGAGAGCCCUGGACCUCCCAGAACUAACCUCCUUCAAUUGCUGAUACCUUGUCAGUAAACGUGAGUUUCCAUGUCCAUGUAGGUCUCUCUCUCACUCUCCCUCCCUCUGUGUCUCUCCAUCCCUCCUAUAUAGACUUAUGCAUGCAUCAUGAUGCUGUCACUACAGCAGUUGAGGUAGUCAAGAUACCCACUGUCUUCAAGCAUUUCCUCCCGGCUGCUAUCUAUUGUGAUAAGAACACUUACAACAGUAGCACAACUUUAGGGAAGGGUAGCUCUUGAAAGAACUUGUUUUGUCUACUGUUUGUGCAUCACACUGUCAAAUGUCCCUGUUUUUUUUUUCUUUCACACAUUAAUGUCAUCAGUCUUGUUUUGUGACUGUGAAAAAUUGUUGUGCACAGAGGUUAAGCAAAUUACCCAGGGUCACAGAGCAGAUGAGUGAAACCUGGGCUCAGAGCCAGGACUCUGAACUGCUGGGUUGACAUAUGGUCUUCCAGUGCUCCACACAGCUGCAGGCUGGCCGGCUCCUUCCCAUUGCACUUAAUAAAAGUCAGCUAUUUUAACUCUUCAUCUGAGUCAAAGUCAAUGGAAUUUCACUAAAGUUACUAGAAUGUGGUCUCAGUAGAAAAAUGAAUUAUGAAUAAUGAAUAGAGGUGAAACAGAUUCAUCCCUAGUCAGUAUUGACAGAGUCAUUCUUCUUUUUCUUUAACUUCUGAUUCUCCAGAAAGUGCUUACAGAUGUAUAAUAUUUCCACAAGAAGUUUCUAUGACAACACCACCUGAAUACUAACAUUUUAGACAAAGUAUUCCUUUGAUAUUUGUAUGAUUGCCUGAUAGUUAUAUGUAUAUCUUUAUUGCAUAUUUUACUUUAUUUGCAAAUAUUCUUUAUUUAUUCAAUAAAGAUGUACAUAUAACUAUCAGGGUCUGAAUUUUGCUGCACAAAGAAAAGGUAUUUUCCAACAAGGUGUUUAAUAACUCAGUUGAUAAUGCUCUUUUAGAAGGCAAAUGAGCUCAUUCACUUUCCAACAUAGAAGUCCAAGGAAGCUGUCAGGUAAGAUAAGCUGUCAGCUACAAACAAAGUCAGUUGGCGUCUUACUUCACUGAGACUGUUCCCUGGACCAGCUGUUUUGCAAUCGCAGAUACCCAUGGGUAUGCAAGUCUGGCCUUGCAGUACAUGGUUGGUCUGACGUCUCUUCAGCGCUGGCUUAUCCUCCCUUACCUCUGUACUACCUUCAGAAGCAGCAGAAGGUCUCGUUGUCUGCAUUUAGGGAAAUGGAUGCACACUCUGCUCUAAUGCAGACUCAUGGAUGCUGCCUCCUCAGCCUACAAGGGGUGGGGGGAGGCAGCCCGUGACUAAUACAGUGUUUAAAGGAACAGUACUAAGGAAAAACAUGUUACAAGAGAUUUCUCAUGUCAUUUUUAACAGCACAUUGCAUCAAUAGGGUUUAUUUCACUUAUUUAAAAAUAACUCUUAAUUAAUGCUGAGGAUGUAUGAAGGCAGACAGUAUUAAAACUAGGGAUUAAAAGUCUUUUGCAGAAAGACUUUUAAUUUCUUGAUGUUUAUGUUUUUAUGCUUUAUAUUUCAAAUUUAAUAAUUCUAUGAAUAUGUUUCACUCAGGUGCUCCAGCUUUGUCACAAUCUUGCAAAUAAAUAAUGCAUUUCUUAGAAAUAUCCUCCCCAAAGUAGAAGGGCUGCAAACAUUCAUUUUGACUUGUCAUGGAGGCAGUGGUUUUCAUCUUUUGUGAUACAUUUUUAAAGCCUGAGCAAAACUGCAUAAAGAAUAGUUCCUCUUAAUGAGAUGAGUCACAUGAAAAUUUCAGAGCUCUCAAGGCUGUGAAGGCAUGUGAAAAGAUAUCACCCCUGGUGACUGUUGAGCAGAGGCAUGCCUGUGCUCUGCUGGUUUCUUUUUCAGAACGAUGACAGCAGCAGGUAUCCUGGAACUUAUCUGCUGGAAGUUAAAGUUUAACUCCUCUACUAAACAAAUUAUAUUAGACAUGCUACUUAGUUUCUAUGCCUCAAUUUACUUAUUAAAACAAGAAAUAUAAUUUGUAAUGGGGAUUGCCAGGGCUAUUUUUUUAAUUCUGUAUAUUAUUUAAACCAGUGUACAAUCCUAUUUAUUUAAACAAAAACACUUUUUGUAGCACAAUUUCCCACGAUAAUUCCACAUUUCCAUAACCAUGAUUAAGUUUUGUCAUCACAAAUCUAGAAUGCUUACAUAAGAAAUCUGCUUGUCUGAGGCAUUAAUAAACUGAAUCUGAGUUUUUUCUCAUCCAUUCAAAGGUCUAACAUAAAAUGGAGUGAGGUAGGAAAAGCAGAAGGCUUAGAAAAAAUCUUGGCUAUAAUUAAUCAUCAAAUAAAUGUCUAUUGAUUUGGAACCAUGUGGAAAAAAUCAUUAUAGAUGCCAAACAAACAAUGUUAAAAUCAAGAGGCUAAAGAAAGCAUCAUAGGAGCAAAACAGAUUGUUUUUUAAAGUGGACAAAAUUGUUUUGACCAUAUUAGAAUCAUAACACUUUCAAACCAUAUUCUUGAAAGUAAAUAUUUAGAGGGUGUUUCAAAAAAAUUCUUUUUAUCCUUCCUGGAUUUUAUAGGUAUUUUAUGGGUUAGAAUAAAGAACAACAUUUUAAGAAUAAAUUCAUACCAACUAGGAAAUUAUUUUAAAAACACUGCUAAAACUCACUAAAAUUCAUAAAAGAAAAACCACAUGCUUCAGUUUCUCUUGCUUCUCUGUGUAGCUCAUUGCUGAAGUAUAUUACCUUUUUAUUUUAUUAUUUAUUUAUUUGUUUUUUUUUUUUUUUUCGAGACAAGGUUUCUCAGUAGCUAUGGAUCCAGUCCUGAAACUCUGUAGACCAGGCUGACCUUGAACUCACAGAAAUCCACCUGCCUCUCUCUCUUGAGGCUGGGAUUAAAGAUGCGAGCCACUUCUGCCUGGCUAUAUAACUUUUUUUUUUAAUGAUUAUGAGUAGCAGAAAAAUCUAAAGUGCAUACCAAAUGGUGAGUAAAUUACUGAGUGUUUGAGCAUGGCGCUACCCAUCAUUCACUACAGCACUAGAAAUGAGAGCCUGUAUUAAGACCAGCCAGGCUACAUAGAUAGAGUGGGUGCCAAAAGAGACAAGUCAGCUAUUACCUGACCAUGUAAAAAGCAGCUGACAUUGGGCCAUCUUGAUUUUAAGCAAUGGAUAUCUUCUAUCAGAUAAUUGAGCUCAAAAGUCUCCGCUUUGGGUCACCAAGAUGGCUUAGUGGGUCAAGGUGCUUGCAGGCAAGCUUGAUGAACUGAGUUCUGUCCUAAGGAUCUGUAGGUAGCAGGAAAGAAGCAACUCCUGCGAGCUGUCCCGGUACCUUCACAUAUGUAAUGCAGCACAUGACCCCACUCCACAAAAAUGAAUACAUUUAAGAAUGUUAAUAAAGAAUUUCACAAAUAAGAUUCUUGUAGUCUCAAAAACUUUUAUCCAGACAUAAGUAAUUCUAGUUGAUUGAGUAUUAUUUAAGUUUUGAUAAAAAUAAGUCUGAGAUAAUUUCAUGGAUAGUAGGAACAGUUUGAACUUAGGAAGGUUGGGUUUUGGGAACACAGAUGACCAAUGAAGAUUGUCAGAUAUCUGGGGAAACUCUAGAGUAGGAAAUUGGGAGGAAGUGUAUGGCUUUCCCUGGUGCUGGAUGAAGCCAAUGAGUAAGGGAUGCAUGGAAACCAGAAAGCUAGAAUGCCUCUGGUGAAGAAGCACUGUUGAAAAGCAGGACCACUGGUAUCGAAUGUAGGUUGUGUCAUCCCUGGACCUUAAGUUGUAGCAUCAAAAAGUCUAGGAGAACUUGUGGGAACAGGGUGCUACCUGUAGGGAAAGAUGGAGUCAUGCUAGAGCAGAAUUUAGCCACUGAUUAUACUAGGCUAUAAUACGAUAAUCUAACUUGGGGCAUUAGGACACAACAUGAGAACAAAAUCUAAUGAUCCUUUUCUUCCUGAAACUCUUGGUGUUAAAAACUCUGUCAAGAUGAAACAAACAGGAGACAGGCUUAUGGUUCAGUGUAAGGAAUACUAUCAUCACUGGUAUCUUAAAUUUAUUGCUUUCUCCGGAAGGCUUUACUCAAUACCUUCACUAAAACAGAUGGCUUCAAAAGCUACAAUGCAAGUCAGUAACUCCAAGAAGAUCCUUGUAUCCUGUGUAGCCUGUGUUUAUGGGAAUAAAUUUUUUGCUAAGGGGUGUUUGUUUAGUGCUGUUGGCAUUAAGAGUCAAGAGUGGAGCCAUAUUACUUCCCCUAUGAAGAGAUUCAAAAACAAAAAUACAUUUGUGUUUUAUAUGGAGGACUUAGAGACGAUGUUUCAUUAUAAAAGGUGAGGAUACUUGCUGUCUUUCUCAGCACACACACACUUUAAUUCUUUGUGUACUUGUUGAAAAAACUGUUUUGGGCUCUGUUGGAAAAUUAGAGUUUUAUAAUUAGUUCUGGCUUGGUUAGUUAAGACAUGAAAGGAAGGGCACGAUGCAGUUGACUCCUAUGACAUGGGAGGACCCUGUGUGUUGUAGGAGACCACUUGUUCAUUUUCUGGCCACCUAGACUUCAAAAAUAAUCACACAGAAACCAUAUUAUUUAAAU